CAGUCGCCGCGGGAAUACGGAGGGUGCAAGCGUUAAUCGGAAUUACUGGGCGUAAAGCGCACGCAGGCGGUUUGUUAAGUCAGAUGUGAAAUCCCCGAGCUUAACUUGGGAACUGCAUUUGAAACUGGCAAGCCAGAGUCUUGUAGAGGGGGGUAGAAUUCCAGGUGUAGCGGUGAAAUGCGUAGAGAUCUGGAGGAAUACCGGUGGCGAAGGCGGCCCCCUGGACAAAGACUGACGCUCAGGUGCGAAAGCGUGGGGAGCAAACAGGAUUAGAGACCCCUGUAGUCCCUGUCUCUUAUAC
rnacentral:rRNA from 1 species